rnacentral:lncRNA from 10 species
CUCGGCUCUGUCACCCAGGCUGGAGUGCAAGUGGCACGAUCUCGGCUCACUGUAACGUUCGCCUCCUCGGUUCAAGUGAUCCUCCUGUCUCAGCCUCCCAAGUAGCUGGGACCACAGGCAUGCACCACCAUGCCUGGCUAAUUUUUUUGUAUUUUUUGUAGAGAUGGGGUUUCAUCAUGUUGCCCAGGCUGGUCUUGAAUUCCUGGACUCAAGUGAUCCAUCCGACUCAGCCUCCCAAAGUGCUGGGAUUAGAGGUGUGAGCCACCACACCCAGCCAAGAGUACAGUAUUUUUAUUUAUCUCAUUUAAUUAGUACAACAACCCAUAAGACGGGCAGGGUAAGAAAUUGCUGAUUUUAGAGAAAAAGAAACCAAGGAUGCAAAGAAUUAAAAGGCCUUGCUUAAGUAGCCAGUCAUGAGUAGGCAGGUAAAUGGGGCAGGUCUGGGAGUAGUAAUCAGCUCUCACUGAUUACUAAUAUAUAAACCUGCGCACUUCUAUAAUACAUGUUAAUAAGAGAUUCAGAGACUCCCAGAAGUUCUAUUGUAUUUUUCAGCAGAGUAGAGACUUGUGUCCUAAUUUCUUUUUCUAGCUAUAGAAGUAAUUACUGCCUUGAAGACCUCAAAUCUUUCUUUCCUUUUUUAUUUUAGAAAAAAAUCUGAUAAUAUUUUUCUAAUUUAAAUCUUUUUUUUUUUUGAGAUGGAGUUUCACUCUUGUCACCCAGGAUGGAAUGCAAUGGUGUGAUCUCGACUCACUACAACCUCCGCUUCCUGGGUUCAAGCAAUUCUCCUGCCUCAGCCUCCCAAGUAGCUGGGAUUACAGGUGCCCACCACCACACGCAGCUAAUGACACGGGGUUUCACCAUGUUGGCCAGGCUGGUCUCAAACUCCCGACCUCAGGUGAUCCACCUGCCUUGGCUUCCCAAAGUGCUGGAAUUACAGGCAUGAGCCACCGCGCCCAGCCUAAUUUAAAUCUAUUUCUAAACAAGCUCAAGCACUUUACAUUCAACUGCAUGUGAAAUUACAUUUAUGAACUUGCUUUAACUGCCACAGCAAGAACACAAGAGCAUUAUGGAUUUAAACACCGAGAGAGAGAGAGGCAGCGAGAGAGGUUUAAAUUACAGUAGUCAUUUGAAUAUGUUACAAAAAAUUUCAAGGCAGUAAGAUUAUUUAAUAUUGUAAAGAA